rnacentral:rRNA from 1 species
UACGGAGGGGGCGAGCGUUGUCCGAAGUUACUGGGCGUAAAGCGCGCGUAGGCGGGAGGCCAAGUCCGCUGUGAAAGCCCGAGGCUUAACCUCGGUAGGUCGGUGGAGACUGGUCUUCUUGAAGGUGCUAGGGGGAGAUGGAAUUAUCGGUGUAGCGGUGAAAUGCGUAGAUAUCGAUAGGAACACCAGUGGCGAAGGCGGUCUCCUGGGGCAUUCUUGACGCUGAGGCGCGAAAGCUGGGGGAGCGAACGGG